rnacentral:rRNA from 1 species
UACGUAGGGACCGAGCGUUGUCCGGAAUCAUUGGGCGUAAAGAGCGUGUAGGCGGCCACUUAAGUCCUGCGUGAAAUCUUGCGGCUCAACCGCAAGCGGUCGUGGGAAACUGGGUGGCUAGAGUGCGGGAGAGGAGAGUGGAAUUCCUGGUGUAGCGGUGGAAUGCGCAGAUAUCAGGAGAACACCCAUGGCGAAGGCGGCUCGCUGGUACGGUAAC